CUCUGUAGGUGAACCUGCGGAGGGAUCAUUACACAAAUAUGAAGGCGGGCUGGAACCUCUCGGGGUUACAGCCUUGCUGAAUUAUUCACCCUUGUCUUUUGCGUACUUCUUGUUUCCUUGGUGGGUUCGCCCACCACUAGGACAAACAUAAACCUUUUGUAAUUGCAAUCAGCGUCAGUAACAAAUUAAUAAUUACAACUUUCAACAACGGAUCUCUUGGUUCUGGCAUCGAUGAAGAACGCAGCGAAAUGCGAUAAGUAGUGUGAAUUGCAGAAUUCAGUGAAUCAUCGAAUCUUUGAACGCACAUUGCGCCCUUUGGUAUUCCAAAGGGCAUGCCUGUUCGAGCGUCAUUUGUACCCUCAAGCUUUGCUUGGUGUUGGGCGUCUUGUCUCUAGCUUUGCUGGAGACUCGCCUUAAAGUAAUUGGCAGCCGGCCUACUGGUUUCGGAGCGCAGCACAAGUCGCACUCUCUAUCAGCAAAGGUCUAGCAUCCAUUAAGCCUUUUUUUUCAACUUUUGACCUCGGAUCAGGUAGGGAUACCCGCUGAACU
rnacentral:rRNA from 1 species